AAUCGAACCCGGAGAUAGCUGGUUCUCCCCGAAAUAGCUUUAGGGCUAGCGUCGAGGUAAGUUGCGUGAAGGUAGAGCACUGAAUAUGUGAUGGCCCCAUCUCGGGGUACUGAGCAUAAUCAAACUGCGAAUGUCACGCCAACAUGCUCGGCAGUCAGACAGCGGGUGAUAAGGUCCGUUGUCAAGAGGGAAACAGCCCAGACCAUCAGCUAAGGUCCCAAAAUGUAUGCUAAGUGGAAAAGGAUGUGGAGAUGUACAGACAACUAGGAGGUUGGCUCAGAAGCAGCCAUCCUUUAAAGAGUGCGUAACAGCUCACUAGUCGAAUGACUCUGCGCCGAUAAUUUACCGGGGCUAAGCAUACUACCGAAGCUAUGGAUCCCAAGGGAUGGUAGGGGAGCGUUCCAUGAACGGAGAAGUACGACCGAAAGGACGUGUGGAGAUCAUGGAAGAGAGAAUGCCGGUGUGAGUAGCGGAACGUGGGUGAGAAUCCCACGCACCGAAAACCCAAGGUUUCCAGAGGAAGGUUCGUCCGCUCUGGGUAAGUCGGGACCUAAGGCGAGGCCGAAAGGCGUAGUCGAUGGACAACAGGUAGAGAUUCCUGUACCCGUAUAUAUGUGAAGGAAUGACGGAGAGAGGAAGCUGCAGCCAGCGGCUGGAAGAGCUGGUGCAAGCGAGAUAUCGGGAUGGCAGGCAAAUCCACCAUCCGAAACGAGAAGGCGUGAAGCGUACGGAAAGCUACGGCGAGUACGGAAGGCAGUGGAGGAACUUCCAAGAAAAGUUUCUAACGUUAAGUAUAUAUGGCCCGUACCGAAAAUGGACACACAUGGGUGAGGAGAGAAUCCUAAGGUGAGCGAGAGAACUAUAGCUAAGGAACUCUGCAAAAUGACUCCGUAACUUAGGGAGAAGGAGUGCUCAUAGAGAUAUGAGCCGCAGUGAAACGGCCCAAGCGACUGUUUACCAAAAACACAGCUCUCUGCUAAGCCGCAAGGCGAAGUAUAGGGGGUGACGCCUGCCCGGUGCUGGAAGGUUAAGGGGAGGGGUUAACGCAAGUGAAGCCCUGAACUGAAGCCCCAGUAAACGGCGGCCGUAACUAUAACGGUCCUAAGGUAGCGAAAUUCCUUGUCAGGUAAGUUCUGACCCGCACGAAAGGCGUAACGAUUUGGGCGCUGUCUCAGCUGUAGACUCGGUGAAGUCUUAGUACCUGUGAAGAUGCAGGUUACCCGCGACUAGACGGAAAGACCCCAUGGAGCUUCACUGCAGGUUGAUAUUGGGAUUUGAUGCAGCAUGUACAGGAUAGGUAGGAGGCAAAGAGAUGGAUACGCCAGUAUUCAAGGAGCCGCUGUUGGGAUACUACCCCUGUUGUAUUGGAUUUCUAACCGGACGACGUAGAGCCGUUGACGGGACAGUGUCAGUCGGGCAGUUUGACUGGGGCGGUCGCCUCCCAAAGAGUAACGGAGGCGCCCAAAGAUACCCUCAGCUUGGAUGGAAACCAAGCGCAGAGUGCAAAGGCAAAAGGGUGUUUGACUGCGAGACCCACAAGUCGAGCAGGGACGAAAGUCGGGCUUAGUGAUCCGGCGGUGCUGAAUGGAAAGGCCGUCGCUCAACGGAUAAAAGCUACCCUGGGGAUAACAGGCUGAUCUCCCCCAAGAGUUCACAUCGACGGGGAGGUUUGGCACCUCGAUGUCGGCUCAUCGCAUCCUGGAGCUGAAGUCGGUUCCAAGGGUUGGGCUGUUCGCCCAUUAAAGCGGUACGCGAGCUGGGUUCAGAACGUCGUGAGACAGUUCGGUCCCUAUCUGUCGUGGGCGCAGGAAAUUUGAGAAGAGCUGUCCUCAGUACGAGAGGACCGGGAUGGACGCAUCAAUGGUGGACCAGUUGUCACGCCAGUGGCAUAGCUGGGUAGCUAAAUGCGGAAGGGAUAAACGCUGAAGGCAUCUAAGUGUGAAACCCACUUCAAGAUGAGAUUUCCCAUUGCGCAAGCAAGUAAGACCCCUUAAAGACGAUAAGGUAGAUAGGUCAGGAGUGUAAGCAUGGUGACAUGUUAAGCGGACUGAUACUAAUAGGUCGAGGGCUUGACCG
rnacentral:rRNA from 1 species